GAUGAACGCUGGCGGCGUGCCUAAUACAUGCAAGUCGAGCGAACGGACGAGAAGCUCGCGUCUCUGAUGUUAGCGGCGGACGGGUGAGUAACACGUGGAUAACCUACAUAUAAGACUGGGAUAACUUCGGGAAACCGGAGAUAAUACCGGAUAAUAUUUUGCACCGCAAGGAUAAAAAGUGAAAGACGGUCUUGCUGUCACUUAUUGAUCUAUCCGCGCUGCAUUAGCUAGUUGGUAAGGUAACGGCUUACCAAGGCAACGAUGCAUAGCCGACCUGAGAGGGUGAUCGGCCACACUGGAACUGAGACACGGUCCAGACUCCUACGGGAGGCAGCAGUAGGGAAUCUUCCGCAAUGGGCGAAAGCCUGACGGAGCAACGCCGCGUGAGUGAUGAAGGUCUUCGGAUCGUAAAACUCUGUUAUUAGGGAAGAACAUAUGUGUAAGUAACUGUGCACGUCUUGACGGUACCUAAUCAGAAAGCCACGGCUAACUACGUG
rnacentral:rRNA from 1 species